UAAAGUUCUCCGAAAUUACAAUGAAAAAGGAAACAAGAAAAAUUACCACUCCAGCCGAUAAGAAAGAUUCAGGAGAUCAAGAUUGUAAGAGCAGGACUGCUAAAAGAAAGGCCAGUCCUGAAAAGAAGACCCCAAUAAAAGGAGGAGGGUCGCUGAGCAGGCUGGUCCUUCCACCAGCUCAGAUGUGGUCAAAGGAGUGAAGCGCAAGCUUGUGCAAGAUGAAGAGGGCACAACAAAGAAAGCAAAGAAGGCUAAACUUCUCGACCAUAUGAGCGGUGACAAGGAGCAAGCAUCCUCCUUGUUGGACUCUGGUAAAGACUUGAAUAACAAACAGGUGUGCGCAAAAA